rnacentral:rRNA from 1 species
CCUACGGGAGGCAGCAGUGAGGAAUAUUGGUCAAUGGACGAGAGUCUGAACCAGCCAAGUAGCGUGAAGGAUGACUGCCCUAUGGGUUGUAAACUUCUUUUAUAUGGGAAUAAAAUGUUCCACGUGUGGGAUUUUGUAUGUACCAUAUGAAUAAGGAUCGGCUAACUCCGUGCCAGCAGCCGCGGUAAUACGGAGGAUCCGAGCGUUAUCCGGAUUUAUUGGGUUUAAAGGGAGCGUAGGUGGAUUGUUAAGUCAGUUGUGAAAGUUUGCGGCUCAACCGUAAAAUUGCAGUUGAAACUGGCAGUCUUGAGUACAGUAGAGGUGGGCGGAAUACGUGGUGUAGCGGUGAAAUGCUUAGAUAUCACGAAGAACUCCGAUUGCGAAGGCAGUUCACUGGACUGCAACUGACACUGAGGCUCGAAAGUGUGGGUAUCAAACAGGAUUAGAUACCCGUGUAGUC